rnacentral:rRNA from 1 species
AGUGAACGCUGGCGGCGUGCUUGACACAUGCAAGUCGAACGAGAACGGAUUAUAGCUUGCUAUAAUUGUCAGCUAAGUGGCGCACGGGUGAGUAAUGUAUAGGUAAUAUGCCUCUUACUAAGGGAUAACAAAUGGAAACGUUUGCUAAUACCUUAUACUCCUUAUUAACAGAAGUUAAUAAGGGAAAGAUUUAUUGGUAAGAGAUUAGCCUGUAUUGUAUCAGUUAGUUGGUGGGGUAAUGGCUUACCAAGACUAUGACACAUAACUGGUUUGAGAGGAUGAUCAGUCACACUGGAACUGAGACACGGUCCAGACUCCUACGGGAGGCAGCAGUGGGGAAUAUUGCACAAUGGACGAAAGUCUGAUGCAGCAACGCCGCGUGGAGGAUGACACAUUUCGGUGCGUAAACUCCUUUUAUAUGAGAAGGUAAUGACGGUAUUAUAUGAAUAAGCACCGGCUAACUCCGUGCCAGCAGCCGCCGUAAUAC